rnacentral:tRNA from 1 species
GCCCUGGUAGCUCAGUCGGUAGAGCAACGGCCUUGUAAGCCGUGGGUCGAGGGAUCGAGACCCUCCCAGGGCU